rnacentral:lncRNA from 1 species
AGGAGGGUCAGUUCCUAUUUACGAAUUAACCUGAGUUAGUAUAAUUGAACGCACCUACAAAACCUAUUAUCUAUGUAGUAUGGAUAAGUUGUCGUUUUUGGUGUCCAUUAACGGAGACAACACCUGAAGGUUUGCUGUGAGAUGACAUUCUUGGUUUAGAUGGGGAAACUUACAGAUGCAAUGUUUAUGGCAGUCAGACUUAUUUUUAUUUCCAAAAAUGCUUCUAAUGAGCUGGCCAAAAAUUCAUAUGGUGGUAACAAUAGUAAUUAUCAUUAAUAAUAAAAUAACAAAGCCUGAUGAACAUAUAAUUAAUAUUAAGUUGUUUCAACAGAUUAAUUUCCAUUAAAACAUAAUAAGUGAACAUGAAAAGGGUAAAUUAAAAGGAGCCGAAACGUGGAGAGGGAGAAACUCACAUUUCUUUCUCUUGGACUCAGAAAGGGUUAAUCAUUUAAAUACAUUGAAUGAACAGAGACAAAACAUAAGAAAGAUUCGAAACAUGGAGAAGUGGAAACCCAUUGAUGCUCCUUCCCCUUGGACUUAAAAGGUGCAGUUUUUAGGAAACAUGCAUUCCAAUUGACUGAUGUGUUUAAGGUUACAGAUGUGAUGUGUCUGUCUUCUGUUAUAUGACAUUUCAUCAUCGUCGAUGGUAUUAUUUGCUCUCUAUGAUCGUCCAAACAUACGAGAGGAAAAAUUGCAAGUUCAGGUUGAUCAUAGUGAAACAACCAAUAUCUGCAAUGAUUUCGUCUUUCCUGAGUUAUAUCCUUGAUUUUGCUGUUUUCGUCUUCAACUUGCAACCUUAUGGAGUUAAUUUUCAGCAGAUGAGUGAGAGCAAGAGGACAUUAUUGGAAUUCCA